rnacentral:rRNA from 1 species
CAAAGGGAUUACCGGUGGCGGAUGGGCAUGCGGCGCAUUAGCUAGUCGGCGGGGUAACGGCCCACCGAGGCGACGAUGCGUAGGGGUUCUGAGAGGAAGGUCCCCCACACUGGUACUGAGACACGGACCAGACUCCUACGGGAGGCAGCAGUGAGGAAUAUUGGUCAAUGGGCGCGAGCCUGAACCAGCCAAGUCGCGUGAGGGAUGACGGUCCUACGGAUUGUAAACCUCUUUUGCCGGGGAGCAAGCGUGCGUUCGUGAACGCGCGUCGAGAGUACCCGGAGAAAAAGCAUCGGCUAACUCCGUGCCAGCAGCCGCGGUAAUACGGAGGAUGCGAGCGUUAUCCGGAUUUAUUGGGUUUAAAGGGUGCGUAGGCGGGAUGCCAAGUCAGCGGUAAAAAUGCGGUGCUCAACGCCGUCGAGCCGUUGAAACUGGCGUUCUUGAGUGGGCGAGAAGUAUGCGGAAUGCGUGGUGUAGCGGUGAAAUGCAUAAAUAUCACGCAGAACUCCGAUUGCGAAGGCAGCAUACCGGCGCCCUACUGACGCUGAGGCACGAAAGCGUGGGUAUCGAACAGGAUUAGAUACCCUGGUAGUCCACGCAGUAAACGAUGAAUGCUAACUGUCCGGCUCGAAUGAGCGCUGG